CUAGAGUAUUAUGUUGUUCGCGCUUUCGGGACUCAGCGCGUUUUAAUGUACCCGUAUUUUUGUGUUUUGUAACUUAUGAACGUGUUUAUCUGUUUUUAUCUGUAUCAGCGUUUAUUUGUAGACCGUCUGCUGGGCCGCUAGUUCGGUCUUGGCCUUUGCACGUGUCCAGACUAGGCCAAGCAGGACCGCCCGGUACUUUUCAAAUAGGGUUAAGGUUGCUGUUUAAGUGGACAGUGGGAAUGCAUUAUAACCAGUCAUUUAUUUUUGUGAAGUAUAUUAACUUAUGAAGGCUAGUUAGGAGCCCUUGACAUGCUAACUAGCUAGUUUGUCUCUUCUACCGUCGCCUCGUCGAUUUCGCAGCGGUCGUGUUACUCUCCAUGCACAUAUGAGGAAAACCGUGUUGGUAGGGACAUCUGAGAAAGGGUUUGUGAGCUGAACUCCGGGUUGCUGGCGUCAUCUGGUUUAUGUUCCUUUUUGGAAGGAGCGUGGUGAAUGGACCUUUUUAGUGCUUCCAGUAUUGAAGUUCAAAGUGGAGUAUGGUGUAUUUUGAGGAUGGUGGUUAAGUCAACAGGGGACCUGUGGCUGGAGCAGAAAGCUGUGGGAUGAAGUUGGCUGAAGGGACUGGAGUGGUCCUUAACCAUCUGUAAAGCAUCUUCAGUGUAAAAAGAUGUCUCUGGGUGGCAGUACUGAAGGCUCAUGACCAACAUGACUUGAUGGACUCUGCUCAUUGACAGGUAACGCCAUCCAUGUCCUGUGACCGUGCUUUGUCGAGGCAGUUAAAGGGUUGACUGUGGAGACUGCUGGGGUCAAACGAUUGGCAUCCGUAGAUAAAAGAUCCUGGGUGACUGAACCUGAAAAUGGUCAUCAGAACGUGCAUUUGAGAGCCUGUGUAAGAAUGGAGUGGAUGUUCCUUUGCCUGGCUCAAAGCUCAUUUGAAUCAGCAAUUUAUGACGACCUAAAGCUCACUGGUCACUUGGAUAAUUCUGUUUGCUUGUACUGUAAAUUGUUUAACACAAACUACUGGAUGGUGAAUGUGUUGAUCCUCUGGUUAUUUCUUGAAUAAAACUUGAGCCUUUUGUCUGACGAACUAAAA